rnacentral:rRNA from 1 species
CCUACGGGGGGCAGCAGUGGGGAAUAUUGCACAAUGGGGGAAACCCUGAUGCAGCGACGCCGCGUGAGUGAAGAAGCGUUUCGGCGCGUAAAGCUCUGUCAGCGGGGAAGAAACACGGUUCGCGAGAGCCGCGGACGGUACCCGACCAAGAAGCCCCGGCUAACUACGUGCCAGCAGCCGCGGUAAUACGUAGGGGGCAAGCGUUAUCCGGAUUUACUGGGUGUAAAGGGAGCGUAGACGGAAUUGCAAGUCUGAUGUGAAAAUCCGGGGCCCAACCCCGGAACUGCAUUGGAAACUGUAUUUCU